GUUUUAAUAAUUUAAUAAAAAUACUGGUCUUGUAAAUCAGAAAUAAGUACUAUACUUUUAAAGCU
rnacentral:tRNA from 1 species